GCGUCUGCGGCUCCCUAUAUACAACUCGGUCACCAUGGGGAUGGGCUGGGGCCUUUUCCUGUUGGUCCAGACCCCUCAAUCUGCCCAGAGGAGCCACGACAGAAGAGUGGUGAUUGGUGCAUGCGACAUGGGAUGAGGUUCAGCACUGAUCAAUAUAUUGAAUGAAUUGACUCUUACUAAGUAUGGCCUUUAAGGAAUAUCUACUGCAUCCCUCUUGGCCAGAUCUUAAUGUUAAAAGUUUAGUGGAGUAAAACAUACAGCAUAAAGUUAACUAUUUUAACCAUCUUUCUGUGCACAGUUCAGUGGUGUUAAGUGUAUUCACGUGGAUGUGAAUACAUCACGGUUAUCCAUCUCCAGAAGGAUGAUCAAAUCGCAAAAUCUUCAGGUCCCCGCGCCUUUGAACAUAGGCACAUCCAGCAAAAGCAGAUGAGAACCUGGCUCUGUUUCAAAGACGCUUCUCCUGGUUUAGAGAGCGGGUCGCGAAAAUUCAGCUGCGGCGCCAUCUGCUGGAAGCGCCGCGACGCUGCAAGGAGCUUGCCGGGGAAGGAGGAGACGCGUUGCAGGUGAACGUCCGGCCCUUUGCCCAGAGAAGGCUCUGACACCAAGUGUGUGAACCUGGCUCUGUCCCUUGGGUUCAGUACAAAUAAACGGAGCUGCUGAAGGAAAAGGGUUGCUGAGGAAUUUAAGAAUUAGGAUAACAUGAUGAAAGGGUUGCAGGAAGUGGAACCCCUUCCAGCAGUCUAACACUGAGAAAUGAAUCAUCCAAGGAGACACACGUACUUAUUAUUGAAAGGUAGGGUCUGGCUGCUCCCUGCCCAAAAGUCAAUAAACAGGCCUGGUUAGUGGAAAGGAAAGUUUGCUUUAUUUCAGAUGCUGGCAGGGGGGUGGGGGGUGGGUGGGCGGACAUCUGUCCAAAGGCUGAUUCCCACCCCCUGACAAGCAGGAGAGAGUAGGGAGGGGGUUUGGCUACAUACAGAAACAGCAUAGUCAGCUCUGACAGUCAUCUUCAGAUUGGUCAUUGGUAGUCUGACUAGCAUCAUCUUGAUUGUUUUAGGUACAGUUAAUCUUCAGUUCCAGAGUCUGUUUGUUCCCAUUUGUUUGAGAACAGUUCUUGGAAUUGUGGCAGCUCAUGUCCUGGGUACAGUCUGGUCAUUAUGUAGUUAACUUUUCCACCUGAGGUUUCAGUAUCUGUAAGACAGCUCACAGGAUAUGGCUCAGAAUAUUAUCUGUAGUCCUUGAGAAGGAACUAAAGGUCCUUGACCAUGCUUAGUGACUACAUUAUUAUUAUUUCAUCUCCUUUGACAGUUUUCCUUUGUUUCUGCAUUUCUCACUUCUCUGAUGAAAUGUAUUCUUAAUGCUAAAGUUUUCCACAGACAACAGGCAGGCAGAAGACAUGGCUGGGGGGAAGGAUCAUAGGGUCAUGCUCAGUUUCAUGCUGAUAGAGCAAAAAGAGAUUUUAUUGAGAAGGGGUGCCUGGGCAGAGAGCAGGAGGGUAAGGGAACCCAGGAGGUCUGCUCUGACACAUGGCUCACAACCCGGAUUUUAUAGUAAUGGGAUUAGUUUUUGACUCAGGGUCCUUCCUGGUGGUGCGCACAUCACUCAGUCAGGAUGGAUUCCAGCAAGGAGGAUCCUGGGAGGCUGGUAGGACACUAGGCAUCUCCUUUUGAAAUUUUGAACUUUCCUGAAUUCUCCGGGUUGGUGGUGGCUUAGUUUCCUGUUCCUUACCAGGACCUCCUGUGGUAAAGUAACUCACAUGAAUGGUUACUAUGGUUCCUGGCCAGGAGGGCGAUUCCAGUCAGUAUUUCCCUUAACACCUCCCCAUUCAGACACUGCAUACUCAAGAUGCUUCUUGGUAAUCAAGGCAGAGGUCUCUUUCUUCUGUAAUUACUCCCUGCUGAGAUUCUUUGCCAACUGAGCUGGGGCUUUCC